rnacentral:lncRNA from 1 species
UGCCAACUUGCCUUGCCGCCGUCUGGAGUGACUCGAGCCUUCUCCGCCACAGCCGCCCGUCGCCAGCAACAAUGAGGUAUGAUUCCAUGGCAUACGAACUUGGCUGCUUGUCUCUGUGCUUGGCUGCUGGCUGGUGUCGUGGUGCAUCUGCCUGUGUUUUCUUGUUAGAUUAAAAAACGCUAACUUGGCUAAUCCUUUGAACUUAGUUCAGUUGCGGAAGCAGACUUGCACAUAUAUAUAUACCUCGAUUUAUCUUUAUGAGCUAUGUCUACUACUAGAGAGGGAAACACGACAUGUAUGUAAUUUGCAUGACUUGAAAAGAGCCAUGGAUGCAACCAAUGGGCAGUAUUUUGAUCUCAUCUCGCACCUUCUAUUAUAUGUUUGUCUUUAUUACAUUUAUUUUAUUAAUUAUUUUAUAUACUUACCGUAUCGCCGUAUUGAUGUUUCUGAAAAUUGCCGUAUCCUGUAUCGCCGUACUCGUAUCGCCGUAUCGGUGUGGCCGUAUUGGUGCUUCGUAGUAUAUAACUAUGAAACUGCUAAUAAUUAUUCACAUCGGCAUCUCUGAAUUCAUCAUGAGAACAUGGUAUCUGUCUCUCUAACAAUGUGUCAUGAUGAUCUGGCUUAUCUUAAUGUUGUCAGACUGACAUAGAAGAACUGAAAACGAACUACAGUUUGGAUGUAACAACAUACACGGCAUAGCUCGACACCACGUAGAAGUCAGGAGAGCGCCCAUGUCACCUAGGUUGAAUUCAAGUUUUGCCUCCAUUUUAUCCAGAUCCUUGCUA